AACGAACGCUGGCGGCAUGCCUAACACAUGCAAGUCGAACGAGACCUUCGGGUCUAGUGGCGCACGGGUGCGUAACACGUGGGAAUCUGCCCUUUGCUUCGGAAUAACAGUUAGAAAUGACUGCUAAUACCGGAUGAUGUCGAAAGACCAAAGAUUUAUCGGCAAAGGAUGAGCCCGCGUAGGAUUAGGUAGUUGGUGGGGUAAAGGCCUACCAAGCCGACGAUCCUUAGCUGGUCUGAGAGGAUGAUCAGCCACACUGGGACUGAGACACGGCCCAGACUCCUACGGGAGGCAGCAGUGGGGAAUAUUGGAAAAUGGGCGAAAGCCUGAUCCAGCAAUGCCGCGUGAGUGAUGAAGGCCUUAGGGUUGUAAAGCUCUUUUACCAGGGAUGAUAAUGACAGUACCUGGAGAAUAAGCUCCGGCUAACUCCGUG
rnacentral:rRNA from 1 species